rnacentral:lncRNA from 1 species
UACAAGUAUUAAUAGGCAAUACAUCGAGAAGGGUUUAAUGAUUAAAAAAGAUCAUCUUGGUUCAAGAUUCGGUUACAGAU